AAACGAGAAUAGAAACAGAAAAGCGUCUCACAUCAAGCGGGGGCCUGCUCACACCACAAGGGCCGACACCAAGCUGGCACUCGCUGCAGCGACACACCGCCAAUAACGGGGGUUUGUGUCGAUGCACGAGGCGACGUGCUUCGGCACCCUGUUCAACAUUCCUUUUGCCGCGCAGCCUGUGCGUGCGUCUGGCUUCGCCCCGCCCUCCAGCGGUCGAUCCCCUUUUAUGUGUUUUCGUGCUUUCUCUCUCUCGACCGACACGACCCUCACCGUCGUCCCUCUCCCUGCAUCGUUCUGCUAGUGGUCCUCAAUCCUGGAGCAGGCCACGCUGUGUCUGCGCCUGCUUGCCUGCUCGCUUACUUACUCCUGUGGAGACGAAAGCAGACAAAACAGCGCUGCUUCUGGACGUCAGCGGCGGCGACCGCGUACGGACGGCUUUCCAGCGCUGGUGCUGCUCUCUCCGCUCUCUGCCUUGCCUCUUUAGUGGUCGAAACGCUGCGCCAGAGCCUUUGCGUCUGUCUGCUGCCGCUGCCGCUCUCUCUUUGGGAACUUCGGUCUGCCUUGCGCACGUGGGGUGGGACGUCCGCCGUUGCGCGCACAUUUUUUCUUCGUCUCCACGUGGUGCUGGUGUGGGGCUUAUCAGUGGUGUAGGCUCGCACCCAACCCACCAGCCCACGCAUCCGCAGGGCAGUGCGUCGUCUGGCUAGCGUAGCCUGGCGCCGCAUCUCUUAUUGCUUCCCUUCUCUCCUAAUUUUCCUUGCUCGCGGGCUUUUGAUUUGUAAAGCGCCACCCUUCGUGUGUGCGUGGCGCGCCCCUCUGCCUCGGCCUCCAGCGUCCUCCCCCUCCUCCUCCUUGCUUUGCUUAUCUUCCCUCUGCAGUGCUGCGUGUGUGUGUGCGCGUGCGUGUCAGCGGCCCGCGUCGUUUCCUUGCGCCGGUCUUCCGUCCUUAUUCUGCGUCCUUUGUUUUCUCUGGUGGUGAACUCGUGCGGCCGCAUCAGAGACGAUGGAGUUCCACAUGGAUCCCGUCGGUGGAGUGGGGAGUGCCUCACCAGAGCACCAGCUCUCGGCAGACGUGCGGAGGUUGGUGCGCCGAACGCCGGCUAGUGGCGACGGCGCCGCUGGAGACGCCAGCGGUGCCAGCCCGGCCGGCGGUAGUGCGCUCUCGUCCCCCUCUCCUCCUGCUGUUGCUGCUGCCGCUGCUGGCGCAGCGGCGCCCACGGCAACGCAGACGGUCGGCAGCGAGGCUGAGGGCAACGCGCUUAUCAAGCGCAUUCGCCAGCUGGAGAGCGAGGGUGCGAUGCUCUCCAACACACUCACUAAGGUGUGCGAGGAGAAUGGCCGUCUGUCCGGCCAAAUCUCCGCGCUAGAGGAGAAGGUGCAGGCGCUGGCGCAGGAGCCGCUGAAGGGGACGUCGGUGCUUCACUCACUCUUCGAGCCAGAGAAGACAGGCUGGUUUGGUGGAUCGAAGUCCGCGGCACGAGAGCAGCUGGAGCAGCUGAGCGACGCGCUGCAGUCCGAGUUCAUGGCCUACAAGGCGUCGCACGCGUCCAGCAACGACGAGGUGCAGGCGCUGGUGGAGGGCCUGCACAAUGCACACCUAAACGCGCAGGAGCUGUCUAAAAUGGUGAAGGAGCAGCAGCAGCUCAUCAGCAGCGGCCCGCUGGCUGUGGCAGUGCAUAUCGUGCCCGUUGACGAGGGCAACAGCUGUGCUGCCAUGAUGCAGGAGAUGCAGGCGCAGCUGCGAAGGGUGCGCGAGCAAGCUGCGCGGACCGAGGAUGCGCUGCGUAGCUCGCAAGCCGAGUUGCAUGCAAUGAAGGCGGAGAACGCGAAACUGCGCAACGAUUCCGUUGCGAGCUCCACGCCUGUGGAACCAGCAUGGGCAGCCCCGAUGCCCGCUGGCAGCAGCGCUCUGUUGCUGUCUGAGAAGUCUUCCACCGAGGCGCUCGAGCGCAUGACCAGUGAGCGUGAUGCGCUGCACGACGCGCUAGCCGAGGCUCGCAACGCCAUUGUUGAGAAGGAUAAAGAUGUGGAGCUUCAGAAGCACAAGGUGGCCCAGUUAGAGAACAAGCUGGCAGCGAAGGACUCGGUGCACAUGGAGGAGGUGGAUAAGCUGCGACAGCAGCUGGCCAACUCCUUCAGCGCCUCCGUGUCAUGUGGGCAAUGCGCUGAGCUGCGGCAGGAGCUGGAGACGGCCAGGCGUGACGUGGACGCGUCCCACAUAACGGUGCAGGACCUGCGCAGCCAGAUCCUGGAGAUGACGGUGCAGCAGGAGGAAAAGUAUAAUGCGCUGGAGAAGCGGCUGGCGGACGCCCUCGACCAGCUCAGUGAGAAAGACGAGCAGUUACGCCACCUCACCUCUGCCGACGACUACGAGAAUCUUAAGUUGGAGCAGGAGUCGCUAACGCGCGAGAUCGAUCUGUAUAAACAACGCAUUGCUUUCCUAGAAACUAGCCGCAGCGCAUCCGACGACGCUGCCAACGCGACUGCGUUGGACGAAACGAAGGUGCUGGAGACACUCAACGCCACCAAAGAGCGUAUUUCGAAGCUGGAGUUUGAGCGAGAUCAGCUGGCCAUGCAACUGCAGCAGGCGCAGAGCUACGCCGUGUCCCGCGACGCGGAAGCGCGGCAGCUGCAGCAGCGCUCCGAGGACGAUAAGAAGCGCGUGACCUUUCUCAUGAAGAAGUGCGCCUCCCUCACCGCCGAUGUGCGGAGCGCGACGACACAGCUUGACACCUUCAAGGAACAGUUUGAGAAGCAGUCACUCGAGCUCAAGCAGGAGAGGCGCAACACAGAAGGCAUGGCCAAGUUGCAGAAGCAGUUCGACGAGCUGAGCAAGGAGAAGAGGCUGCUCGAGGACCGCUUGGCGGCGACGCAGGAGGUGGAGGAGCGUCUUGUGAAGGCGAAGGAGACGAUCGCUUACAUGGAAUUGGCCCAGAGCAGCACGAUCUGCAUGAGCCAGUUUGCUGAGCUGAAGGCGGAAAAGGAGAAGCUGCAAAAUACGAUGGAGCCGCUGGAUCGAAAGCUGGAGGAGGCCAAGCAGGAGAUCGAGCGGCUGAAGGCCGUCACGGACGCGCAGCACGCGAUCUCGGAAACACAGAACAAGAACGUGCGCGCGUGGCAGGACCAGGUGACGGCUCUGAGCGAGAGUGAAGCGAAACUGCGCGACAAGGUCGCUGUGCUGACGGCAGAGAACACACGCCUCACACAGGUGAACGCGUCGCUCGAGCAGCAGAUGGACGACAUGCAGGACGGCAUUAAGGAGAUGGCGGUGCACAUGGAGAAGGAUCGCGCCAGCGCCAAGGCUGCCGCGGAGGCGAACGCGCAAAAACAAAUCCAGACUCUCUGUGAUGAACUGGCGCAGGCGAGGGCGACGAUCGCCGAGGUGCAGGCACGCGACGGGCAGUACGUCGCCGACGGGCUUUACCAGUCCGUCGUCGCUGAGCGCGACAGGUCGUUGGAGGAGAACAAGAAGAUCACCGUCGAGCUGGAAAAGCGCAAGUCGGAGAUCUCAAUCUACCGUCAGACGAUCGCCGACCUUGAGCAGGAGAACGACGAGCGCGUGAAGGAGAUCGAGUCGCUACAGGAUCGCUACCAGAGCGACCGCGCCGCCCUCAACGAUCGCCUCGCGAAGGAGCAGAAGCGCGCGGCGGAGCUGAGCAGCAGCGUAGCAGGCCUGACGGAGCAUGUGUCCGCGAUGGAGGCCGAGGCGGCAAAGCACACGAGCACUAUCGCGGAGCUGCAGGAGAAAAAUGCGAAGCAGCAGCGCGUCUUCGAGGACAAGUGCCGUCGCGAGGAGGCCUUGAGCGACGAGAUCAAGCGCUUGAAUGGCCAAAUCAGUGCCUUGCACGCAAACCUGGCAAGCGCCGCACUUCACGGGCAGGGCAGCAGCAGCAGCAGCAGCAACGUCGACGCCACGGCGGCAGCGGCUUUUGUGGCUGCAGCUUCUGCCGUCGGAGUCUCAGCACCCGCCGUGGAACGUUGCAGCUCUGCUGUGGUGGAACCGGAGACAGAGGUGAAGGCGACGGAUCGCGCCGCGUUGUUGUCCUCUCUGAACCCUGCAGCACCGACUGCGAGUCGACCGUUGUUGGACCGCCUCGCUGAUGGUGCCGCGGCCUACGCGGCCUCUGCACCAGAGCCUAUAGCCAUUGAUGCCUUCUGCAAGCGCAUCGAAGACCUCCAGCGCGACAACGACCGCCUGAAUAGUGAGCUGAAGCGCAUAGAGCUGCAGCACCGCACUGACUCCGCGAAUGAUCAGCACAUGAUUACCGUUCUGCAGACGCAGAUCAAGAACCGCAUGUCGACCAACAACCGUGCUGCCUACGAGGCUGAAAUCGCCAAGUCAGCAGCAUUGAAGAAGAGCAUCGAGGCGCUCAUGGAGGAGAACGUGAAGCUGCGCAAGCAGGCAGGAGUAGCGCAGGUCUCGGCGAACAUGCCUGCUUCGGCAUUAUCGGUCGCAAUGGCAGGGGCGCAGCAGAUGGACGUGCUCCAGCUGCAGUCUCAACUGCAGGCUCAGAAGGCCACGUACGACUCGGCGAUGGAGGCGGCAGCAAAGGCUGCGGAGGCGUAUGAGGCGCGCAUCCACGAGCUGGAGGAGUGGCUACACGAGACCAAGGAGGCUGCUGCUGCUGCUGUUGCUGCGGGGGUCACAGGCACCGGGGGCGAUGCCGCCGACGAUGGUGACGCGAGUCUGCUCGACAAGCCAGUUAAGAGGCGGGUGAAAAAGAUCAAGAGGAAGAAAACGUUGGCAGAGCAGGUUGGCGCCACGAACGAUGGCGAGGACAUCCUAGCAGCGUCCCCUCAAACUGACGCCGCCGCCGCCACCGAGAACUCGGCUGAGGCGGGGCAGUUGCAGGCGUCCUUGAUGCUUGCGCACCAGGAAGUGGAUCAGCUCAAGUUGGAAACCAUGCAACUUACUUCGGAAAACACUCAACUCAAGGCCACCGUCGCGGACCUGUUGGAACAGUUGCAGCGGGCCGAGGAGGAUGUGAAGGCCGCGAAUGAGGACAUGGAUAUGAUGCAGACGGCGAUGGACGAGGAGCGGGGUGAUCUUCGGAAGAAAAUCGACCUUCUCGAGCAGCAGAGCAUGCAGCGGCGCCCCGGCACGGAUGAACGGCAGCUUACGACGCCGUUGCGCAACACCAGCUCUGUUCACAAUGGCAGUGACAGCCCCAGUAAGGCCAACCGCUCCUUCCGCAACAGCACCAUCGUCGACUUAGAGAUGCAGCUGCGCCGGUGCCAGGACGAGGUGGAGCGCCUGACGGCUGAGAACAGGAACCUGCAGUACCGACUGGAGCGCGAAGAGACACAACGAACGUCGUCCUUGCCGGCCACGACGGCGGCAGUGGUGGCGCAGGAGAAGAGCGAGGCUAGCGAUGUGCGGAAGUUGCAGCGGCAGCUGAAGCAGAAGGAUGCGGAGAUCAAGGUGCUUGCCGAUCAGCUCAUGCCCACCAAGGAGAAGCUGGUCGAAUACAUGGCUAUGGCGGAUCGCCUGGGCCUCCGGUACCCUUUUCCGCCAGAGCUGGAGGGCGCGACGGUGCUGCGGCUCAAGGCACUUCACUUGCCGGUGCAUGCGCGAUCGGCAUCCGCCCCGACUCCGGCACAUCAGUGGCUGCACAGGAUGCGCUCAGGUGGAAAGGUCGACGAGGCCUCGCCGCCACCACGCACGCCCCGAGCGCGCUACACAGGCGGUGGCGGUGGUGCCGCGCUGGAGAAGGGCGAAGACUUCUCUCGCCGAUGAGAGCGGCGUCCUCGUCACGAUUUGACUGUCUGGAGCUGAAACGUGACGCCGUGCCGACUCCUCGUUGCGUAGAGCCGGAGUAAAGGGCUCCCUCCGCUGUCGCCCGCUCCCGCUACUGUGCGGCGCAGGCCUUGCAUCACAUGCCCUUGAGCACCGUUGCUCGUCUCUCUGUCUCUCUUCUCGUCGGUGGGCUCACAGCCCCUCUGCUUCUUUUCGUUUUUCUUUUUGUUGUGAGAUGUGCCGAGCGUCGUUUGUUGUAUGGUCACGUCUGGCGCGACGCUAGCGAACUCUCAUGUCGCCGGCAUGUGCGAUGACGCUCCAUCGUAGCACCAUCACCGCUCCUUAUUAUAUUGGUUUCUCUCGUGCGUACCGGCGUCUACCCCGUCUCGCCACACUUGUCUGCGCGUGCGUGUGCGGCCACUCUCCUAACUUUUCAGUUUCGCUUCCCCUCCUUCUCUCGCUCGCUUUCUGUUGGCUGUAUUCACGGACAUCGAGGAUGAUGGAAUUGCGGGGUGGGCGGGCGUGUGCGGAGUAGUGCGGGCUGCAGCCGGUUGUGUUUCCCAUCGGCUCCCUUCCACUGCAGACGGCGUGAGCCGCCCCUCUCCAUUCCUCCCUCCCCAUUUCCCCACCUCAUCAUAUCCGUCGCUCUGGCGCUGCUUUAGGUGGUGUUCGCCCCUCACGAUACCUGUACGACAUCAACGCGGUAUAGUAGGCGGUCAUGCUUCGCUUGUGCAUAUUUUUUUUUUCUUCGGUGGACUUACUCGGCGCCCCUCCUCCCCUUUCGCCCGGCGUUGCUCGCCUGCCGCCGGUGUGGUCCCGAAUUUCGGCGUUGACUCGUGCUGAACACAUCUUCAUUGGUGCUCUUCUCUCGCUUCCUUUUUUUUUUUCAUCUUCCAUUGACGCGCAUCGAUGCGCGUCUCUCUCUUUAUGUACGCCUGCCUGUGCAUGGGCAGCGGUGUGGACGGCAGAGCAGCUGUGCUCUGCGGGCUGCUGGCGCCCCCCCCGUAUCUUGUCUGCUGUGAAAGCGCAAGUGAUCGUGCGAGGUGCGCAAUGCUUGAAGGGCCGACGGCGCUGCAACGGACACCUUCUCGCUCGCGGCGGUGACUCUCAUCUCCUUUGCUACCGCCUUGCCUCUAC
rnacentral:misc_RNA from 1 species